rnacentral:lncRNA from 1 species
UUCUGGACAAUGAGUCCCAUCAUCUCUCCACCAUGCACCUUGUGACUCCCUCCUCUGCUGACAACAGAUAACCACCUUUAACUCCUGUUUAGGUGGUCUUCUAUACGGACAUGCUUGACACUUGGUGCCAAAAUCUGGGCCAGGGGGACUCCUUCGUGAGACCGGCCCCCUGUCCUGGCCCUCAUUCCGUGAAGAGAUCCACCUGCGACCUCGGGUCCUCAGACCAGCCCAAGGAACAUCUCACCAAUUUCAAAUCGGAUCUCCUCGGCUUAGUGGCUGAAGACUGAUGCUGCCCGAUCGCCUCAGAAGCCCCUUGGACCAUCACAGAUGCCGAGCUUCGGGUAACUCUUACGGUGGAGGAUUCCCAGCCAUAUGAAGACACCCUAGCUGGACGAUCAGUCCUUGUCAAAAGUCUGACCCCUCAAACUCUACAGCCUCAAUGGACCAGACCCUACCCGGUCAUUUAUAGCACACCAACUGCCGUCCAUCUGCAGGACCCUCUCCAUUGGGUUCACCAUUCCAGAAUAAAGCCAUGCCCAUCAGACAGCCAGCUUGAUCUCUCCUCUUCCUCCUGGAAGCCACAAGAUUAGGCCGAGAGCCGAUCAGACAAACAACCUACAACCCUUAAGCUCCUGGCAGCGCCCAGCCAAGGCCAUGCUUCCUUGCAACACUCCUUCCAAAUGGCCAUCCCAGCAUGCUUCCAAGCAGGCUUCAUCCGUUCCUCUGGACCCUCAUCUCUUAAGACCUGCCGCCUAUAAAAAGGAUUAUAUCUUGAGACCCUAUCCUCUAAAAUUUUUUCCACACCCAAAACAAAAAAUCUCUGGGUCAAAAGUCUAAAACGCUUAGGCUGGCAACCAUCAGAUCCUUGCCCAUGGUGUCCUCAAGCCUACUCUCAUGAAAUGGACAACAGUACACGCAUAUGGGGCCAGUUCCACAUAUUUGGCAACCAGACCAGCAUCCAGGACAACACAAAGUAUGUUGUUUGUUGUUAGAGGGCUUGGGACAUUUCACUCUUUGCCAGCCUCAGCUUAAUCCAGGAGACAAAGAUUAUUUUCCUUAUUAUCUCUUCUGCAUAGGAUCUGCAAUCAGAACUAUUGAACUUCUCCAUUCAGACCGCCACUCACACCUAUGGGAAAAGGGUAAUGUAUCAUCGGCUUAGCAACAGGGAAUACUAUUCGUAUGAUGGAAAAUGGGGACAAAAGGCUUUGGUACAUAAAACAUUAUUCCUUCCUUGGCCUAAAAACUCAUCGCCACCUACAUUAAAGCUAAUAUGCCUGAUUACUGUUUUUAGAGAACUUAUUUUAUUAGGGCAGUUCCAAGCUCAAAAAUACGCUAACUGGCACCUUGUUAGCUACAUAAAAAUGCACCCUAGACCCGAAACUUACUAGACUCAUUAUAAAAUUUUCUUUAAGGUGUCCACGCAGUCCCUGGUCACACUUGAAGCAGUCCGGAGAAAUAUCAGCCCUACCCCAGUAAUCCCCAGAAGGAACUUACACUUUUUUUUAAUCUUUUCCUACAACUUCAUAUUUUAUAAAUAAAAAGACAAAAAUGUCAGGCCUGUGAGCUGAAGCUUAGCCAUUGUAACCCCUGUGACCUGCACAUAUCCGUCCAGGUGGCCUGCAGGAGCCAAGAAGUCUGGAGCAGCCGAAAAACCACAAAGAAGUGAAACAGCCAGUUCCUGCCUUAACUAAUUAACCCACCUUACGACAUUCCACCAUUAUGACUUGUCCACCAUUAUGACUUGUUCCUGCCCUGCCCCAACUGAUCAAUCAACCCUGUGACAUUCUUCUCCUGGACAAUGAGUCCCAUCAUCUCUCCACCAUGCACCUUGUGACCCCCUCCUCUGCUGAGGAUAACCACCUUUAACUGUAACUUUCCACGCCUACCCAAGCCCUAUAAAGCUGCCCCUCUCCUAU